CACUCCACUAAUUCCACUACACCAAACUUUCCACCUACUCCCUUCCCCACCACACGCAAGAAUGCAUCUAACAUUCCAUUAUACAGGCAACAAUCUUUUCAUCAUCUUCAUUCUUCACUAAGGAACCGAAGAGCAGCCACGAGUUCUGCCAUAAGUACACUGCUCCGGCAGUGUUUUGCAAGGCGAUUCCAGCCAUCCAAAAGGUUCCCAAAAAUUCCCAAAUUAAUUGUGUAUCAUCUUUCAUAUGUUUUCUAUACUUUGGCAAAAUUUCAGAAGGUUUGAAGCUCUUAUGAUUUAUUUAUGAAUUUGUAAACAUCACUGCCCAUCUGGAAUACAUUUUUGGUAAACAAUCUUUGGGAGGCCAUAAGUAAAGUUUCAAUCGGUGAAAACCUUUGAAACUUGAAUAUGUCACUCUAGACUCCCGUAUCUUUCUUUUGACAUCGGCCUCACCAUUUUUGAAUAAGGGAAACAACCGGUAUAAAUUCUUGAAAUCUAGUUCUUAUUCCAUGUACCAUCCAGUAGAUUUUACAAACCUACGACUUUGAGGUGGCAAAGCCCGACUUAAAUCUUUGAUUCUCAAGCCUAGCUUUCUACUGAAUAUUCAAUGACAUGUUGGGAACUUACUUGCUUAGUUUUAGAAUUUUUGGUGAAGCCUAAAGUUGGUUUUCUGAUUUAUGUUAUGAAUCUGCCAAACUUGAACGCUUUUUGUGCACUGAACUUUAGACAGUCAUAUCUUCUAAACCAUGAAUGUUCUUAGAUUAAAUCCAACUGGAGAGUGUUAUGAUCUCUCCCUAGUUUCCAGAUUGACCCUUGGGGUUCCCAGUGGAGUUUUGUAAAGGGAGAUAUGAAUUUUCAAAGAAAGCCCACUGACUUGGUUGUAAUCUGGAAAUCUGAAAUUUUCAGAUUUUUGCUUGUUAAAUACCCAUCUUUGAGAGGGCAUAUCUUGCUCGUUUGAAUUGUUUUUCAUUCGAUUCAAAUUGGAGAAUGAUCCUUGAAAUGUCUAGUUUCCAGAAUGUCUUUUGGAGCAUCAUUUGGAGAUCCGAGGCAGAUUUGGUGUCUGUUGCAAAACAACCCCUUAAGAGCUCAAGUUGUUGAAUUAUUUUCUAUGUAUCAAAGUUUAUUUUAAAGGAUGUUUCAUGAAAGAUUUCGUAUAUGUGCGUAACAAGUUUGGGACUAUUUAUUUUAAAUGAGGUCCGUUCUUUAUUUAAAUUAUGAUGGACUUUUAAUGAAUAUUUUUGGGAUUAAACUCUUAUUUCUUGAUUUAUAUAAAUUAUUUUUUUUAAGGACUUAUAAAUAUGAAUUUCGUAGGCCUACUGACCUACUGUGAUCGACGGUUUGUCGAUGUCUAAUAGCUUUGAAAAUUUUAUAGCAAGUCCUGACAUGAGUCUUGAGUACCCUGGUAAAAUUUCAAGCCAUUCCAACUUCGUUUGAUACUUCUUUAAAAUGCAAAACCUAAACUGCACAUAACUACCGAGAAUUUCAGAGAACAGAUGAAAGAGUCAUUUAUUUCAGUAGCUUCCUGUGUGAUCUAGCUUUCCAAAUUUUUAUGGUAUUAACCUUAUUGUGUUAGCUAGAUAUCCACCAAAGUUGAGCCCAGUUUGACAACGUUUACUAUUUGUCAAAAAUCCAAGUUUUCGAUUGUUCAAAACUGCCGAACAUGGUAGAUCGUGGUAAAAACGUCAUAUCUCUCAAACCACUUGGAGUUUUCGACUCUACUUUUUUUUAUAUGAAACUAGAUUCGAAGAUCUUUCUUUCGGUAUGAGUCUCGAGUCCAGGAGAUGUCGGAGUCAGAACAGAUUAAAUUUUGAAGUUGAGUCAGUGUAAAAAUAGAGCAUGUUUUAAUGAUGUUUUUGGACUUCGGACUUUAAAGCGAACUAUUAUCAUUUAUUUCUUUAAAGCCACUGGUUUAUUUAAUUAAUUGGCUACUCUCUUUUGAGCCUAUUAAUUAUUUGAGGUUACGCUAGUAAUGAUGUAACGAAUUAUGGAUGCUAGAACCCUAAAACACUAAAAGAUACCCUAGGCACGUAGAAUUAGACUUUGUCUUAUGACAAUUACUUCACGAACUUAUCGACUCUUCAUCAAUGAAGGUCCGGGCGACAGAAAGUGAAGCCGAAGAAGAAACGACUCCACGCCAGCUUUAAGAACAAUUGAGGUUGAGCUGUGAUGGGCGAUGAAGUGUUGCUGAGUGGAGUUUUUGUCGAACUUAAAGUAGGCUCAGAAAGGAUACAUGUCUUCAUACAUGUAUCACAGUUAUGCUUUCCGCUGUAAACACUGAUUAUUUCAGUUACGCCUUCCGUUGCAAACUCUGAUAAUGUUUUAGCCAAGCCCCUAAUGAUGCCUUUUUCCUUUUAAGGAAUAUAACGCGUAUACAAGUUCUUUGAGUACCCUUUUUAUGCGACCUAUGCCUUUUUCCUUUUUAAGGAAUAUUUCACGCGUAUUCAAGUCCUUUGAGUAUUCUUUUAUGCGCCCCUUUCUAAACCCGCUUCUUAAUUUCCCUUCCCCAGUCAUGGUUUUCCCGGAUUAAUUAUCCUUAAUUAAGGCCGGUCGUGACAGAGUGGUAUCAGAGCAGUUCGUUUGCUCUGAGCCUAAGAGUUUAUUUAAGCCAAACUUUGAAUUGAUCACUAAAGUGUCUAGAGUUCAAUCGACAAAGCUCAGCACUUCAUCGCAUCACACUCAACGAAGCAGAAUGGUCCGGGCGACAGAAAGUGAAGCCGAAGAAGAAACGACUCCACGCCAGCUUUAAGAACAAUUGAGGUUGAGCUGUGAUGGGCGAUGAAGUGUUGCUGAGUGGAGUUUUUGUCGAACUUAAAGUAGGCUCAGAAAGGAUACAUGUCUUCAUACAUGUAUCACAGUUAUGCUUUCCGCUGUAAACACUGAUUAUUUCAGUUACGCCUUCCGUUGCAAACUCUGAUAAUGUUUUAGCCAAGCCCCUAAUGAUGCCUUUUUCCUUUUAAGGAAUAUAACGCGUAUACAAGUUCUUUGAGUA